rnacentral:rRNA from 1 species
GACAGAGGAUGCAAACGUUGGCUCGGAAUUACUGGGCGUAAAGCGCGUGGUAGGCGGUCUGGUAAGUCGGACGUGAAAUCCCGGGGCUCAACCCCGGAAGUGCGCUCGAUACUGCCGGACUUGGGUCUGAAGAGGAGAGCGGAAGUUCCCGGGUGUGAGAGGUGAAAUUCGUAGAUAUCCGGGAGGAACACCAGUGGCGAAGCGGCUCUCGUGGGCAGAUACCGAGCGC